rnacentral:tRNA from 1 species
AGAGAAGUGCCUGAAAAAAGGAUUAUCUUGAUAGGAUAGCUUAUGUGUGCGGACCACCUUCUCUC